ACACAGACAACACUUCAUGUUGUAGUGAUAACAGAACAGAGAAUAGUACUCACUGGUGUCCAGCACUCUUCCACACACAUCUCUGGAAGAAAAGAAAAAGGUAAGAAGUACACUCACCUGUGUGUGUGUGUACAGGUACUCACCUGUGUGUGUGUGUGUGUGUGUGUGUACAGGUACUCACCUGUGUGUGUGUGUGUGUGUGUACAGGUACUCACCUGUGUGUGUGUGUGUGUGUGUGUGUGUACAGGUACUCACCUGUGUGUGUGUGUGUGUGUGUACAGGUACUCACCUGUGUGUGUGUGUGUGUGUGUGUGUACAGGUACUCACCUGUGUGUGUGUGUGUGUGUACAGGUACUCACCUGUGUGUGUGUGUGUGUGUGUGUGUACAGGUACUCACCUGUGUGUGUGUGUGUGUGUGUGUGUGUGUGUACAGGUACUCACCUGUGUGUGUGUGUGUGUGUGUGUGUACAGGUACUCACCUGUGUGUGUGUGUGUGUGUGUGUGUACAGGUACUCACCUGUGUGUGUGUGUGUGUGUGUGUGUACAGGUACUCACCUGUGUGUGUGUGUGUGUGUGUGUGUACAGGUACUCACCUGUGUGUGUGUGUGUGUGUGUGUGUGUACAGGUACUCACCUGUGUGUGUGUGUGUGUGUGUGUGUGUGUACAGGUACUCACCUGUGUGUGUGUGUGUGUGUGUGUGUGUGUGUGUGUACAGGUACUCACCUGUGUGUGUGUGUGUGUGUGUGUACAGGUACUCACCUGUGUGUGUGUGUGUGUGUACAGGUACUCACCUGUGUGUGUGUGUGUGUGUGUGUGUGUGUACAGGUACUCACCUGUGUGUGUGUGUGUGUGUGUGUGUGUGUGUGUGUGUGUACAGGUACUCACCUGUGUGUGUGUGUGUGUGUGUGUGUGUGUGUGUGUGUGUACAGGUACUCACCUGUGUGUGUGUGUGUGUGUGUGUGUGUGUGUGUGUGUGUGUGUGUACAGGUACUCACCUGUGUGUGUGUGUGUGUGUGUGUGUGUGUGUGUGUGUGUGUGUGUGUACAGGUACUCACCUGUGUGUGUGUGUGUGUGUGUGUGUGUGUGUGUACAGGUACCCACCUGUGUGUGUGUGUGUGUGUGUGUGUGUGUGUGUGUGUGUGUGUGUGUGUGUGUGUGUGUGUGUGUGUGUGUGUGUGUACAGGUACCCACCUGUGUGUGUGUGUGUGUGUGUGUGUACAGGUACUCACCUGUGUGUGUGUGUGUGUGUGUGUGUGUGUGUGUGUGUGUGUGUGUGUGUGUGUGUGUGUGUGUGUACAGGUACUCACCUGUGUGUGUGUGUGUGUGUGUGUGUACAGGUACUCACCAGUGUGUGUGUUGUUCUCUAGGUACACAGUGACUAGGUAG
rnacentral:lncRNA from 1 species